rnacentral:rRNA from 1 species
UACGUAGGGCGCAAGCGUUAUCCGGAAUUAUUGGGCGUAAAGAGCUCGUAGGCGGUUUGUCGCGUCUGCCGUGAAAGUCCGGGGCUCAACUCCGGAUCUGCGGUGGGUACGGGCAGACUAGAGUGAUGUAGGGGAGACUGGAAUUCCUGGUGUAGCGGUGAAAUGCGCAGAUAUCUGGAGGAAUACCGGUGGCGAAGGCGGCAUCCUGGACCGACAUUGACGCUGAACGGCGAAAGCUAGGGGAGCAAACGGG